AUGUGACGGGUAGUGUCAAGGGGUUGAGCUGACGUCAUCAAUGAGCGCCCUAUUUUACGGGCCGUCUCCCGUUCUCUAGCAGUCCGCUGAGAGGAGAGUAACAGGUUUUGCCGGCCGAGUGGAGUCCCUUCGGACGUCGUUGGGGAGGGUUUAGCUCCUCAGCCUUUCCAGGUGGCACACAAACUGCUGUUUUGCCGUAUCCGGGUACGAGUGGUGAUUAGCGAUUGUAAACAGCUGAUAUCCUAACAUUGUAUGCGUCCCGUGCUCCGGUUUUGUUUCGGGUACUUGCCUACUGUUGUUUUUAUUUAUUUCGAGCGGGGGGUGCCCGAUGUGUGGAGGAAUAGCGUGGGUAUUUUCUUAGAUCAGAUUUUAGCAUGUGGCGUGAUAUUGCAUGAACUGUUUUUAACGCACUUUGUUUUGACGUUGCGUGAGUGAGUUGCUGUGUGUGUGCGUGUGUGUGUGUGUGUGUGUGUUGCAUGUUUAUAGGUUGCACGGGUGAUUAGAUGAACUGGGGGAUUCGCUGUCUCCACACUGACGCUCGCCCCACCGCUGCUGUGUUUAGGGACCCGGGCAAGUACACAGAUUGUUCGUGAUAAACUGUCAGCCAAAUUAGAAUAGGUUUACGGUGUGUGUUUUUUACUGCUGUAAUAAUAAAUUAUUGUUUUGUACCACAAUAUGAUCUCUGUUCCUUGAGUAAACCGAACCUGUAUUGUCCAGUCCGGCUCAAGGACUUCCCCCUCUUAUAAUAAAGAAAAGACCCUGGUGUUAUCCCAGUAGUUAGAAAUAAAUCAGCCCCCCCCCCCCCCUACUUGGUGUCACAUUUGGCGUUGCUGGCAGGACCAAGGACAGAGACAUGUUGCUUAAGCAUUUUUUUUGGAAUGUAUGUUUGUAAAUACCGUGCAGCUGAUUCCUUAUAAGGUCCAUACAAUUGUUGAUAGGCUUGUGUUUGUUGUAUUGUGGAGCAAAAGCAGCAGUUUGUGUGCCGGAGGACCCCUAAGACAACGCUUCCAGCAGUUUUCGGAGAAGACACGGUGUCAUCAUGGACGAGUAGAUGCAAGAACUUCGGGAGAUGGUGCAAAGGUUGAAGGCAGAUAAUGAGCGGCUGUUACAGGAAAGACAGUCCCUAAACCCGGUCCCGGGCUCCUCGACGGCACCUCCCUCUGCCAACGAUGGUAGUCUUGACUCUGCGCAACCACUCGGUACUUUCGGUAUGGAAACCUCUACUAGGUUGCCACCAGUUGUUGAGCGUGUGGUGUACAUUCCCAAGGAUAAGUGUUCCACCUUUACAGGAGAAGGAGACGUAUCGGUGAGGGAAUGGGUGGAUGAGGUGCAGUCAAAAUUUCGCACACGUAGGAUGUCUAUUGUAGAACAGGCCCAUUUCAUUUAUGACCAUUUAGGAGGAGCAGCAAGAGACGAAAUUAAGUAUCGUUCUAGACAGGUUCGGGAAGAUCCCAAACUAAUUUUUUCCAUCCUUCAGACUCAGUAUGGCUGUGCAGACUCACCUAUUGCUCUAUUGCAGAAUUUCCACUCUCGGAAACAGCAAGAAGGGGAGACAUUGCGUGAGUAUGCAAAUGCGCUAUUCUCCCUAAUGGAUAUUGUUAUACAACAUUCUCCUGACGGAGUUGCACAGGCAGCUAGCCUCCUACGCGAUCAAUAUGUUGAGUUCGUGUCGGAUGGCAACCUUAGCCGUGCGCUGAAAGAACUUGUUCGUAUUAACCCCGCCUAUGAUCUCCAUGAUAUCCGUGAUGCAGCCGUCCGAUGGGAGCGAGAAGGCAGACCACGGGAAGGGAGGCCGAGAAGCUAUUCUGUCCCGUCGGUUUAUAGCAUCCAUCAGGGCGCUUCCGGUAGACCCGAAUGCAUGGGCCCCCACGCCACUUUGAAGGCGGAGGUAGCCGAGCUACGGGAAAUGUUAAAAAGUCAGCAGGAGCAGUUUAUGCAGUUUUCUAAAACAUUGUCAGCCUUAAGCGUCCCUAAGCGCCCUCAGUUUCAAUCUAGGGGUGCAUUAAUCUGUAGGCGGUGUCAGCAGCCAGGCCAUUUUGCUAGGGACUGUGAGAAUGAACGGGCAGCCCCCCAAUCUGGACGGGAUGGGCCAAGGUUCUCGCAGCCGCCGUCGGAAAACUAACACCCUCUGACGGGCAGAGCCGCCAGUCAGAAGGGGUCAUGUUAGGCUCGGAUAGCAUAGUUCAGAUCGACCCUGAAUCAAUCUCAAAGUUGGUACAUCCUUGCCCCCAUGUCGUUGUCCAUAUCGCGGGGGUGGGAGUUUCCUGUUUGUUAGACACUGGAUCCAUGGUAUCCACCAUAACUGAAAGCUUCUUUAUUCAGCAUUUCCAGUCCUGGGGUCAGGAGAGGCUGCAGUCAUGCAGAUGGUUGCAGCUCAGAGCGGCUAACCAUCUAGACAUCCCCUAUGUUGGUUACUUAGAGUUAGACGUCACAGUGCUUGGCAAGGUGAUUCCAAAACGUGGAAUUCUCAUUGUUAAGGACCCCCCACAAUCCUUACCAAAACCAGAUUACCCAGGUGUCCUGGGAAUGAAUGUUAUUGGCCAGUGAUUCGAAGAACUAUUUGGCCAGCACGGUUUGGGCAUGUUUGACCUCCCCGCUAUUAAGAAUGCGAAUAGCACCUGGCACCAGGCCUUGCAGUACUGUCAUCAAGUGCACCGCACACCACAGGCUGAGAAAGUAGGGACAGUCAGAGUUAGAGGUAAGGCCAGAGUUUGUGUCCCGGCUGGCACCAUGAAACUAGUGGCAACCACUUGCUCCCAGGGAUUAUUUAAUCCUCGUGGCUCUGUACUAUUCCAACCCCCUGAGAAUAGCAAUCUCCCCGGUGGUUUAUUGUUGGCACCAGCUAUCGUAAAGGUUGCACAAGGUCGUGUACGUCCCAUUUGUCAAUGUAGGCACUGUUGAUAUAUUUCUCCCCCCCCGCACUAGGGUUGGAGAAGUCUGCCAUGUAGAGAUUGUGAGCCUACCGGACGCGUUAUUGAAAUUGAGGGGAGGUCAGACCAAGGUGUUGUGGCAACGUCCUCGGUCCAAGUUGCUGGAGGGAGAUCUGUACAGAAUGCUAUCAGGGACAUCGACUUGUCCAGUAUACCCUCCCACGAACAGGGCGCGGUGAGGUCCCUUUUACAUAAGUACGAGUCAGUGUUCUCCGCAUGUGAGGGUGACAUAGGCUGUACAAAUCUUAUUGUUCAUGACAUACCUUUAGUGGACAAUACGCCCGUAAGGCAGCGCUAUCGACGUAUCCCUCCAUCGGAUUACGAGGCCGUUAAAGCUCACAUCCACCAGUUGCUGGAAAAUCAGGUCAUUAGGGAAAGUAGCAGCCCCUAUGCCUCUCCGGUUGUCCUGGUGAAAAAGAAAGAUGGCAGCAUACGUCUUUGUGUGGACUAUCGGCAACUUAAUGGAAAAACAAGAAAAGAUGCUUUUCCUCUGCCUCGUAUCGAAGAAUCGCUGGAUGCCUUGUCGGGUGCCCGCUGGUUCAGUACCAUGGAUCUGGCCAGUGGGUACAAUCAAGUUGCCGUGGCAGAGGACGACAAGAACAAGACAGCUUUUUGUACGCCCUUCGGGUUGUUUGAAUUUAACCGUAUGCCCUUUGGUUUGUGCAAUGCACCAGGCACUUUCCAACGCUUGAUGGAGCGAAUGUUUGGGGCCCAGCAUUUUGAGUCAUUACUUUUGUAUUUGGACGAUGUGGUGGUGUUUUCCUCUACCAUAGGGGAGCAUGUGACACGCCUAGAGGCAGUGCUGAGUCGGCUUCACCAAGAAGGCCUGAAAGUCAAAUUGGAGAAGUGCAGCUUCUUUCAGCCCAAGGUGAAGUAUCUGGGCCACAUUAUUUCAAAGGAUGGAGUGUCCACAGACCCAGAUAAAAUCAGUGCAGUGGCUAAUUGGGCCCCACCCAAACACGCAUCGGAACUACGUUCCUUUUUGGGGUUCGCCAGUUAUUAUCGAAGGUUUGUCAAUGGCUUUGCUACUCUUGCCGCUCCUCUGCACCGCCUAGUCGCUGAAAUGGCGGGGUCCAAAAGGAAAAAGCCAUACGGUCGCCCAUUCAAUGAGGUCUGGACAGACGAAUGUGCGAGGAAGUUU
ensembl:lncRNA